GCUCGUAAAAGUAGACACUUCAUCAAAUAGAGCAUGCGGUCCCCCAAAAGGACGCGGGCGGGAAAUGGGAAGCAAUGAAUUAUAUUGGAGUAGCCUAAUAUGAUUGAGUUAGUAGACUAAAUGUAUAAAUAAUAGAUUAACUAAUCAAUUUUAAAUUAGAAUUAAAUUUAUUUUAAUUAAUUAAUGUAAAGAAUUUAUAUUAAUUAAUUAAUUAUAAUUAAACCAAUUCUUGUACUUCUAGAAGAGCAAAAAAUAUGUCACUCCAGUUUCUGAUGAGUGAAUCACUUGUCGAGACUAGAUUGGGUGCAUCACCUGAUUGAAAACAGUGUUCUAAUGUAUUGUUAUGAUUAGUUAAUUAAUUAUCUUAUUUGGAUGUUGCUGUUAGUGGCAAGUGGUUCACUUACCCUGACUAAGUUGAGUGCUUCACCUAACUGAAAACAGUGUCAUAGUGUAUGAUUAGCAAUAUAAUUUGGUAACAGUAAUUAUGACAUAUUAAUUAAUUAAUUAGUUGGAUGCUGCUGUUAGUGGCGAGUGGUCCACUUACCCUGACUAAGUUGGGUGCUUCACCUAACUGAAAAGUGUCAUAGUGUAUUGUUAGCAAUACAAUUUGGUAACAGUAAUUAUGAUAUAUUAAUUAAUUAAUUAAUUUGAUGCUGGUGUUAGUGGCGAGUGGUUCACUUACCCUGACUAAUGUGGGUGCUCCGCCUAACUGUAAACAGUGUACCAACCUAAUCUAACCAUUCCUAAUCCUCCAUAACCUCGCCUAACCCAGAAAGAAAAUGAGUACUGGUUGAACCACGGCUUGCAUCAUUGAUUCCUGACGAAUGUCCAGUUGUCUCAAGUUUUAAACACAUAACCCUAUACACUCUAUUUCUGAUUAUUAGUACUUGCUACCUUGUUCUUGGUAACACUGUGUAUGCAUGGGAUGUCUUGUAACAUGUAAUGUGGUUUUAUCAAUACAUAUUUGCUAGAAUGAUCAGAUGAGAAUCAUUGUCUAGCUUUGUUCAGAGUUCGGACGCAUUUUGUGCUAAUCUUUACUGCAAGCAUGAUGGAGAAGUGGAAUGAUUCUUGCACAAGACUUUGGCGAUGGGGCAGCAAGAAACCAAAGUGGGUGGAAAAUGAAUGAUUGAACUUGAACAGAGAUGUGGGGCUGAGUUUAAAGACAUUGAUAAUUCAGGUUGCAGAUGCUUUGCUGCCAUUGAGCUGAUGAUGGUGCAGCUUUCCAGCAAGAUGCAGAAACCAAUUCGACAAGAAGUCAAAGUUGAUAUAUCUGAUUAUCGCUUGGUUGUGAACUUGGACAUAUUAUUGCCUUUGGACAUCAUGAACAAUCGACUUUCUUGUCGACUCCCUCUGAGAAGUGGUCUGAAACAUGUAAGAUAACUCAACCAAGGACAAAGAGAGUUGAAGGCAGGUGGCAAAAGACCUAGUCAGAAAAUAUGAAUACGAUCUCUUGAAUAUGAAUGUAGAAGGUCAUACUCAUGUACUAUUGUCAUGCAAACGUCAAAUACCAGCUAUAGAUGCUGUGAUCAAGUAUUUAUCAGAAGGUGAUGAUGCAGAGUUCACAGUAGACAAGGUUUCUCAAGUUGCUCCAUACUUGAUUGUAUGUGGCAAUCCAGUCAAACCAAGCCAAGUUAUUGGCAUUCGAGCUCAUCAUCAUGUUUGAAAUUCAGUGCAGCAACAGCAUAUGCCGUCCAGCCCUAUUGCUUGCUGUAAUUUAUGUUUUCAAUACAAAUUUCCCUCAAUCUUUAGCAACUUUUUACUGGUGCCUGGACGUCAUGUUACUGGGAUGUUCUUCAGCUCCAGUGAUAUCUAGUUUUUUAGCUGGAUUGCAAUGAGGAACUUUGUUUGAUGAAUUGUGUUUGCUUUUUGUGUAGUGUGUUGACUUACUAUUUUUGGUUUAAAUGUUUAAAUACAAGCAAUGGUAUUGAAA